UCAUAGUCAAAACCAAAAACCUGUUAGCACCAGCAAGUACUGUUUUCAUUAACCUCUGUAGAUAAGCUGAUCAUUUCUGAAUAAAAUCGCCUAUAAAUUUGGAAUAAUGCAGUCUAAUGCCCAAGGAACAUUUGAGGUAGCUAUUGAAUGGAUUCACGCACAUCUACUCCUUUAUGCUUCAAGCAUGGCGCUUGGAGUCCGUUUGUGUUGCUGUGGUCUCUUGCUUUAACCAGCGUAGGCAGAAUCUACCAGCCAACUCAAGAGCAACCUGCUGCUGAGCUGGAACCUGCAAGAAACAGAAGUUUGUUUAUAACCCUCCCAACAUUAAGAACCUGAAAAACAGAGCUGUGCCACUUCCAGAUUAGAAAAGAACAUUUCUGUAUUUUCACAUUCUCCUGAAAUUCCUUAUGGCAUGUUCCGUUUCAAUGACUUUCACUGACCCAGAGACAUAGCCGAAAACACCAGCGUAGAACGGAAAUGGAAGAAUCAAAGAAAGAACAAGUGAAAACUGAUCACUUAGAUUAGAGACGAGUCUCGACUUUUCUCUAGGGAAGAGGUACAGUCAAGGCUGGUUUUAAAAAUCUUGCUCGUAAAGGUAAGUGAUGAAUUAAUUGCACACAGGUGGGAUCAAUCUCCUGUCAGAUGACAUCGCCAUGAUAACGGGCUGAUUGGCAGAUUGAGUAAAGACUUGACCGGUUGCCAAGGUAUUUUGGGUUUACUAUAUCCCUCCCUCAAGGAGAGACUUCUGGAUGCUGAACAGGGUACGCCAGGGAACCAGGAAUGAAAUGAGCACACCAGACAGGGGGCAUGAAAGUCUCUUGCAGGAACCCAAGGCUUCUCCUAUGGACAUGGCCCCUCCAAGAUGACAGCUGACGGAUUUCAACAGGGAGACGUGUAAGUCCGGGGAGUCACCGUCCGAGAUGACAAGUAAGAGCCAACUGGUAGGUGUAACGACGUGGCUUGCUGUUGGGGACAGCUCCAUCUUGCCGACAUGCUGGAGAAUCCAAAUUCAGCAACUCGGUGAGGACACAGUCAGAGUAAAGCAUUGGUGUUGGGUUGCUGAAGAGACGUAGAGAACAGAGAUUUGUGAAGCACAAUGAAUACAGAUAGAGAUUGUUGAAGAUGUAGACUGGAAGGUUCAGACAGGACUGGAAGGCAAGCGCAGCUUUCAGGGCAGUUGUAGACAGGGGGGCUGCGCCGCUGUAUGGGAUGACUGAUAGGGAACGGUUUUCAAGGAAACCAGGGGCCGUGACUUCUGGCUCACCCGGGUACAACAUUCACCUUCUCUUAAUGGGUGCUCUCCAGGCUGGGGUAUCAGAUGUGGUAGGUGUGGAGUUCCUGAGCUGGCACCCAUGACGAUUCCUCUGGUCCACAGCCUCUCCAAAGCUCCAAGCAUUGGAGGCUGAUCUGUACCCAUCAGAUGUCCACGAUACGGUAUGGCCUGGGUUCUUGGGUGCCUUUAAUUCAAAGUGAUGAUGGUACAGAUGGCGUGAUGGUUGCCAGUGCAGGUUUCAGAAGUAAAAUGUGGAACGUUGAUGAGAUUUGCCUUCCCAAUGAAUGCAGGAGGGCAAGCCAGUAGGUGAUGGUAUUCACAUGUUCCAACAUGUGUUGGAUUGUUUGAAUGGGCCAAUGAAGUAGAGGAGCAAGUUCCAUGAUGACAGGCAGAGACAGAAGUCUGAUUAAUAGCCACACACUUUGUUCCAGGCCUCAGGGGUGGAAUGGCCCUCCAGCAAUAGUUGGCCAUUCUUUCCUGCUGCUGUGUGGUCUUUUAGAUGUUGGCUCUUACAACCCACCACAUGUGGCAUUGCAGUUGUGCCUCCAGAUCUUUGUUCACUCAUUUUGUUUGGCCAUUCGUUUUGGAGUGAUCAUUUAAUGCAGCUGGUGAUCUGUCAGAACUCAAGCGCAAGAGACCGGAAAGUGAAAAGUGAAAGGUGAAAAUUAUAUAAUUGAUUAUGGGCCAGCGGGGCUUAAUAAACCCAAUCCAGUCGGUAAUAGGGGGGAAUGAUGAUCCCAGGAGAAGCCCAGCCAACUGCAUCCCUGGCAAAAAGAGGCUGCUUAACACAGCACAGCUGCUAAAAACAGGGAGUCUUGGGUAUGGAAGAAACCAAAUAGUGAGACCCUUGAAAAAGGAACUGAAUGGGCUUAGAAGGGCACCCCUCAGGAAUGCCAAGGGUGCAGGUCAGCAAACCCCUGUCGACGCAGUGACCAGUGAAAAGAAUAAAGGUGGAAUGAAGUGCUGCCUAGAUUCUGAGUCUGUUGCAUCAGGCUAGGCUGGAGUGCAAGGCAACGCUGAGAGCUGAGGCUGCUGGGCAAAGUAAAUUAAUGAAACCGAAAAAGCUGCAAAAACUGGUUACCGGUCAGAAAACAGGGAGUCUCGUGUACGGGAGAGACCAAAUGGUGAGCCUCCUUGGAACGUAGGCAGAAGGUUUUGAAGGACAGACUUGAGGUUGCUGAGACUGCUACGCAGAGCGAAGGCUGGCUGGAGGCCACAGAAACUGCUGUGCAGAGUGAAGGCUGGCUGGAGGCCUGUGAGACUGCUGAGCAGAGCAAGGGCUACACUUGCUCUGGGUAUUUCCAAGGGUACACUCGCCAACACUAAAGCGGAGGCUGGUGUGCUUGACGAAG